rnacentral:rRNA from 1 species
GACGAACGCUGGCGGCAUGCCUAAUACAUGCAAGUCGAGCGGACUUGAAGAGAAGCUUGCUUCUCGGAUAGUUAGCGGCGGACGGGUGAGUAACACGUAGGCAACCUGCCCUCAAGUUUGGGACAACUACCGGAAACGGUAGCUAAUACCGAAUAGUUGUUUUCUUCGCCUGAAGAAAACUGGAAAGACGGAGCAAUCUGUCACUUGGGGAUGGGCCUGCGGCGCAUUAGCUAGUUGGUGGGGUAACGGCUCACCAAGGCGACGAUGCGUAGCCGACCUGAGAGGGUGAUCGGCCACACUGGGACUGAGACACGGCCCAGACUCCUACGGGAGGCAGCAGUAGGGAAUCUUCCGCAAUGGGCGAAAGCCUGACGGAGCAAUGCCGCGUGAGUGAUGAAGGUUUUCGGAUCGUAAAGCUCUGUUGCCAGGGAAGAACGCUUGAGAGAGUAACUGCUCUCAAGGUGACGGUACCUGAGAAGAAAGCCCCGGCUAACUACGUGCCAGCCGCCGCAGUAACAC